rnacentral:rRNA from 1 species
UGCCAGCCGCCGCGGUAAUACUGAAGGUGCAAGCGUUAAUCGGAAUCACUGGGCGUAAAGCGCUCGUAGGUGGCUUUGUAAGUCAGAUGUGAAAGCCCACGGCUCAACCGUGGAAUUGCCUAGCAAACUGCUGAGCUAGAGUGUGGUAGGGGAGAACAGAACUCAUGGUGGAGCGGUGAAAUGCGUAGAUAUCAUGAGGAAUACCGGUGGCGAAGGCGGUUCUCUGGUCCACAACUGACGCUGAGGUACGAAAGCUAGGGUAGCGAACGGGAUUAGAUA